GAUGAACGCUAGCGGCAGGCCUAACACAUGCAAGUCGAGGGAGAAGCCCUUCGGGGCAGAAGCCGGCGCACGGGUGCGUAACGCGUAUGCAACCUACCUUUCACAGGGGGAUAGCCCGAAGAAAUUUGGAUUAAUACCCCAUAAUAUUAUUGGAUGGCAUCAUUUGAUAAUUAAAAUUACGAUGGUGAAAGAUGGGCAUGCGUCCUAUUGGCUAGUUGGAGUGGUAACGGCACCCCAAGGCUACGAUAGGUAGGGGUCCUGAGAGGGAGAUCCCCCACACUGGUACUGAGACAGGGACCAGACUCCUACGGGAGGCAGCAGUGAGGAAUAUUGGUCAAUGGUCGGAAGACUGAACCAGCCAUGCCGCGUGCAGGAAGAAUGCCUUAUGGGUUGUAAACUGCUUUUAUAUGGGAAGAAUAAGGAGUACGUGUACUUUGAUGACGUACCAUAUGAUAAGCUCGCAUC
rnacentral:rRNA from 1 species